UCUGAGUCGAAGGCGCUGAGGUCACCACACGCCAGAAAGGGGACGAUGACGCGGUUCGGACCCUCUAACUGGUUAAAGUCCACAUCUGCAGGACAAAGACCAGAACGAACUGAGACCAGAACCAGGACAUGCAGAUCACAUAUAUAAAAGAGCUCUGAGUUACCGUAGGAAUGAUCCAGCAGAGGGUUGGACAUGUUGGGGACGUAACCUUCAGGAGGAGAGUAAUUCUGACACACCACGAAGGCCUCUGCACACAGACACACACACAGAUACAUUCCGGUGUUGACGAUGGAAAGGACCCCUGCCGACAGCUGUCCCCGCAGCGCCUGUUCAAAAUGGCGUGAUGACCCGCCACCUCUGCUUAAUGACAAAUACCGUGUUUCCAGGUUUCUGUCUUCUCAGUAGCGGCCACGCGGGGUCGCUGCAGACACACGAAACUGGUUUCUAUACAACAAACAUGUAAACCCCUUGAAGAAUAUCACAGAAAAUAUCACUGAUAAAUUCAAGUAAAAUUUGGUUUUUAUUGUUAUGUAUGAAA